rnacentral:lncRNA from 1 species
CUGGGAUUCGUUGGGUGGCGGAUUCGGUACUUCCGGCAGCGCCUCCUCUUCAUGUAUAGUUAUCUUCUCUUUCCAUAUCUGACUCGGUGCUUCGGUCUACUCUGGAUAAUUCUGUUUAAACUGUACGUCUUCUGACCUUAUCACUUCUCCUUCGUAGUCUGCCCAUCCAUCCUUGAUGAUUUGCCUCCUCUGGUUGCGGUUG